GACUUCCAAAGCACGGCUUCUGAUGGGCUGCAGGAAGCUCCUGCAGCCCAUCGGAAGCCGUGGAAGUC